AUAUCAAUAAGCGGAGGAAAAGAAACUAACAAGGAUUCCCCUAGUAACGGCGAGUGAAGCGGGAAUAGCUCAAAUUUGAAAUCUCACCGGUUACCGGUGCGAAUUGUAGUUUAAAGAAGUGUUUUCUGUCCGAGACCACGGUAAAGUCCCUUGGAAUGGGGCAUCAUAGAGGGUGAGAAUCCCGUGAACCGUGGGGGGAAUCGAGGACUUUGUGAUACACUUUCAAAGAGUCGGGUUGUUUGGGAAUGCAGCCCAAAAUGGGUGGUAAAUACCAUCUAAAGCUAAAUAUUGGCGAGAGACCGAUAGCGCACAAGUA
rnacentral:rRNA from 1 species